rnacentral:rRNA from 1 species
UAGGGAAUCUUCCGCAAUGGGCGAAAGCCUGACGGAGCAACGCCGCGUGAGUGAUGAAGGUCUUCGGAUCGUAAAACUCUGUUAUUAGGGAAGAACAAAUGUGUAAGUAACUAUGCACGUCUUGACGGUACCUAAUCAGAAAGCCACGGCUAACUACGUGCCAGCAGCCGCGGUAAUACGUAGGUGGCGAGCGUUAUCCGGAAUUAUUGGGCGUAAAGCGCGCGUAGGCGGUUUUUUAAGUCUGAUGUGAAAGCCCACGGCUCAACCGUGGAGGGUCAUUGGAAACUGGAAAACUUGAGUGCAGAAGAGGAAAGUGGAAUUCCAUGUGUAGCGGUGAAAUGCGCAGAGAUAUGGAGGAACACCAGUGGCGAAGGCGACUUUCUGGUCUGUAACUGACGCUGAUGUGCGAAAGCGUGGGGAUCAAACAGG